ensembl:lncRNA
UUCAGAACGGUACUUAGGAGAUUGCACCUCAAGGAUGGAAGCAGUGCAAAAGCCUUUUCCCUGCAUCCCACGUCACAGACAGCCCUGCUCCAAGGAAAUGACUUCGGAGUGUUAUGGCAGACACAUAUCCCCCUACCGAGCACGAGCUCUGUUGACAUCAGACUGCCCAUCAGAAGCACUUGUCUCAUUCCGAUUGAAACAACUUACAUAUGCUUUACCAGGAUUCUGUUGUAUGCAGGACCCUAGCAAGAUGUUUCUACUGAGAAUCAUAGAUCCUGAAAUCACACUGUUCUUCCUGGUUUUGUACAGUGACCACGGCUCCUGCCACGGGAACCAGCCCCUCUGCUCAGAGCCACAGAAGGAGAUGUCUGCAAGGAG